AUAUUUAUUGGCAUUGCUGCACUAUGACUCACAUGGAAUUAGAUCUAGGAGCAAAAUGAUGUGAGCUGAAGAGUUGAAGGAAAAACAGACAAAGGAGAUGGACUGUGAAUCUGCAAGAGAUCUCACGGUUGACUCAACACCUUGGGAGCAGACGCCACGUUUUGAAAGUCCUACAGCAACCUCCUGUAUUUCCCAGGGUCUGUAUUCCCUUCAUCUCCUUUCAUCUCCUACCAAAAGGAAGCUACCAAUAGGUUUGUAUAAAUGCAGCCACUGUUUUGCAUUCUACUCUAAGCUCCUUGCUUCAUUUCUUCUGGACUUAGCUCAUUAUAGUUAAAUGGUGCUAGAAGCUUGUGUCUUGGUGUGCUGCUAAUGGGGCAGAGCUCCAAUUAGCUGCUGGCGCAAGCACUGAAACAAAUCAGCAGCAUCUGCAAUGCACAGCUGGAUGGCAAAGACACCCGAAAUAUGCUGGGGAUUGAACUGAAGCCAAAGGCAGGAGCACUAAAGACAGAAAUCUGGAUCAGGCCUUGGAGAAGAUGGCUGUAGGGCCCACAGCUUGAGAGUCUGUCUGCGUAUGGAGGGUUAAAGAAGAGCUCAGAGAAGAGACAAAGUUUGGACUGCAGCAAGCAUGGUGGAGUUCACAGCAAUGCAACUACUCUGCAGAGAUUCUCCCAGGCACUCGGUGCUCCCUUGGUCAUCCCCAGCUUCAGCAGCCAUUCUUCGGAACGUAUUAGUGAAGAGAGAUUUGUUGCCAUGCUGCAUUACACCAUUUUUUUUUCCCUCCAGCUAUUAUAUUACUUGCUAGGCUGUUGAAAAGAAGAAGCAAAAAUACAGCUCAAACUACCAGCAUUCUUUGCCACAAACCUGUAUCAACAGCAGCUUGUCCUGGCCGUUGAGCUCAUCUCUCAAAUCUGUAAAGCCUAACUCUGGCAAAUCUGUUCACAGCAUGUUUAGCUUAAAUCCUUCAAGCAUUACUAUUGUAAAUUAGGAAGUAUUCUGAAGUGCUUCAGUGAUACAUUUAACUGGGGCCUAAAGAAACGAGUAAAUAAGAUAUAAGGCGGAAAAGAAUGUGUCCUUGAUUUGAGUGUUUUCCCUGUUGUUUAGGAUAAUGCAUUUUAUCACUGAAUAAUUUCUGAUCUUUGCAAAACACUAUGGAAAUUGCUUGUUGACACAGUGUCAGAGCUGAGAUGUUUAUGUUUUCCUGGUGCUUUUAAUCUGUCGCAAAUCUUUGGCAACAAUAUCUUUGAGGCUGGGGAAAAUGUGUCUGAAAUUGUAUUGACAUUGCAAAUGGAUUUACAAGCUUGUCCUUUAAAAUCUUCUUUCCACUUUGUGCUUUACUGCUUACAGUAGAGUGGCAAUAUUCUGGAUAACUUCAGAAAUACAUAUAGUGGUUUGAAUGCAAACUGUGUAUUCCGAGACCAAGUUUCCAUCUCAGCAUCACUGCAACCACCAUUUUUGUAUACUGAGAUAUAGGUGAUGCCAUAUGCUAUGUCUGCUAUUUCAUCUCACUGAGUAACACUGUAGACAAACAGAGAACAACUAAGAGCAUCAGCAAAAUCAUUUCAUACUAAAGACAGCAUUUCUAUGAUGCAACACGUGGAGACUGUUCCUACUUUUCAUGUGGAAUUUCACAGUACAGCCAUGCAAUAAGGAAACCACUGGGUCGCCAAAUGACUCACUGCAUCACUUGGUAAUAAACAAAUGCUUGCUUCAUAAAAUGCAUCUUUCUACUAAAUUCCUGCCUUGAGAGUUUUAUGUAGCUGUAAAAAUUUGCUGAAAAAGCUCUGAGAUGUACAGAGUGAUACUAGUUUGAAUUACAGCUUCCCUAUUCAAAUAGCCUUACACUAUUCCUCUGAAAAGUUGCUUUAUCAGAAAUGGGAUCUUUGUUUCACACAGAUGACAUGUGAACACACUGGCUUGGAGGAGAAUAGAUUCCAUAUAGCUUUUCUGGUUAUGAACAUGAUGAGACUGCAAGUAUUUCACUCCUACUACAGACUCAGGGCUCCAGUUUUGCCUGCUACGUGUCCUUUGAUAUGGAUUGAUAAUAAGAAAUAUCUCCACUUCACUGAUUUCUGGUUUUUUUUCUAACUCCUCUCAUAUCUGCUGCUAACCCAUUAGUGAAAGAAAGAAUAUAAAUAAUGAAUGAGCCAUUACAAUGCAGGAUCCUAGUGAAAGACUGCAAGAAACUCAGACUUUUCCAGGGAAGGCUAACAUGAUUCAUACCGUACGCUUGCAUAAUAUUGGCGGCUAUAAGACUUAGGAGGAAUUAUUUUAACAGUUUGUUGUUCUCACAUAUCUUUAAAUAUUUGUCAUUGUGGGUCUCAGGGGAAGCCCAUGUUUAAGUUGGACAAGAGUUGUACGGAUAAAUCAUUACUGCUAGCAGAUCAUUCAGGACCAUCCACUUCCAUAGUCAGGCUCUAUUACUCACCAGUUCUAGCGCCAGCUGAAGACACCAAGGCACGGCUUCAUGCUGGAAUAUCACUGGAAUCUUUGAAUAUUACUGGAUCUCUGAGUAGUGCCCAGAGCUGCCUAUGGAGCCACAUAGGCCACAGAUUUCUGAAAUUUGAAAACCUUCACAGUUGUGAAUUUUCCAGCUGUUCUGUUUCAUAGAUUUAUUUACCCAUUUUGCAACUCUUCAAAAUUAAACUAAAUAUAAAACUGAUGUGUCACUGCCAAAUCCAAAAUCAAAGCAUUUAUUGUGAAAAUAUCAAGAUUAAACUUUUAAUCUUUGAUUCCUUCCCUCUUGGCUUUUCCAGAUGAGACAAUUAAGGAAAUUCAUUUGAAGUUCCCAUGUACUCUUGCUGCCUUGACUUGUUCAGAGAAUUUACUAUUUAGAAUCAAAAUGGUGUUCCUCCGAAGCAGUGCAAAGCAAUCCUUCCUCUGCAGCCAAGACAUUCUGCAAAACUGAGAGCCAAAAGGGCUCCCAAUAGGCAGUCCACUCUCAUGCUGUCCCACAUAAGCAAUCACAUGUUGCACAUAUUGAAACAUUUGCAGUUCUAAUUGUAGGAGUUUUCAAGUAAACACCUUGAUUUCAUGUUUUAUUUUUUUUUGCAUUGUUGUUUAAAAUUUGAGUUCUCCUUCACAGUGUUGCAAACACAAACACAGCCACGCAGAACAAUACUUCCGUGGAACAGAAUUUGUGUAAUUUGGCUACCCAGACAACUGGGUAAGCCCAAUUACACAAAUGCAAGGAGCUGGAAUCUCUAGGGUCUUCCAUGGGGGGAGAGCCCUGCGUGCGAACGGAUUGGCACUUGUCUUGCUCCAUCCUUUUUUCAUGUGUCAUUCCAGAAAGCAGAACCAGACUACAAACUCAUGCCGUGGCUCCACAGCCAGCUGAGGCCGAGAAGCCUGAGGAGUUUCUUUUAUGCGCCUAGCAUGAGCCUGUAUAUUAAAGCCAUUAACAUCACAGAUGAUAGCCUUCAUUGUGCCUCAAUCACGGAAUGGGUAAAUGAUGGUAUCACUGUGCAAAGAAAAUCUGUUCUUCCUGAGGUCUCUAGGAUGCACAUGGGCGCAGCCUGAUAUUGUCCAGGGAAGGCAGUACCUCUGGAAGACCUACAUUAAGCUCCUCUUAGACACUGCCUAAUGCCCAUAUUUGUGCCAAUAACUCAUGCAAUAGUUAUGAACAGCAAACUGGGAUUGUUAAAAUGGGGUGAUUUUUCUCGUCACGGAAUUAUUUUGAUUACUCCUGCCAUGAGAUUGUUACAUGGCACUGGAAGCCAAGAGAGGAAUGGAGUUCAAAAUCCUGCGCUCUAUUCUAAAAGCGCUGUUUAUUUUAAUAACUAUGAGCUCCAUGUGAGGACUGUAACACCAAAUAACAUGAAGAAAAUUCUGUGGCAGACAGGCCCUGUGCUGAAACCCACACAGCCAUGCCAGCUGGUUUCUGAAGGAUAUUUACCUAGGCUUUCAGCAUUUUCCUGAUGUUCUUCAGAUGCUGUCAGUAGUUGAAAGCUUUAUUCAGUGUGCCUCCAAUAGUGCUGUGCUCCAACAUUCCGCCGAGUUCAGUGGUUUGGAUGCAAACACAGCCGACCAUCUACAACAAAGCCUUGCAGAAUUUCAUGAGCUGAUCCCAAACAAAAAUCAGUUAUUUCCAAGUAGCAGCGUCUCAUCAUGCAAUAUAUACGAGCAAAGAAAUAAAAAGACAGUCACUUCAUGCCCAGGAAAUACCCAGUGGAAGUCAUAUGCAUAUGCAGAAUAGAAGAUAACUGUGAGGCCAGCAUGUCAGUGCAUCACAUGUAUAGUGCAUAAAUUAUAUGGUUAGCCUGACUUCACACAGUAAGUGGGUUUACCACGCGUUGUGCAGUUCAUCUGGGCAACAUAUGCUCCAAAGUUCUAAUUCUGUGGAAGUACUGCAUACUCUGUGGGGCUGAUCUGCUGUGCAUGGUGAAUGUGUCUGGGAUCUCUAGGUAUCCAGCAGCUCAGGCUGAGCUGCUAUUCUGGUCAGGCUGUCCCAGACAACUGUCAGCAUUCUGCUCCUAUGAAAUACCAGGACCAAGAAAAGGGCCUGUCUGUGAAAACCAGAUGCAUGGUAGGUAAGAGGAAAAAAAUAUAUUACAUUCCUGUGUAUUACAUUUUGUUACUGACCUUACACCAGAUCUCCAGACUGUUAAGUCUCCUCCUCAAGACCUAUGAGAUGUAUAUUUAUAGAAGAAAAUAUCAAAGCAUACAGAAAUAACACAGUAACCUGAACUGUUAAGUAAAUGUCAAUUAAAGUUAAAUAAAAAGUCAAUGUAAAAUUAAAAAAAAAAAAGAAAAGAAAGCUUUAAAUAACAUAGAACUACAAUUCUAGAAAUGUUCCUAAGCAGAAAAAAAUUGAUACCAUUGUCAGAUCAGGAAGAACGGGCUGAACAACCAACGUGUGCAGUUCACAGAGACUGAGCUCAAAGAAGUGCGCAUUCAUUGUUCUGCAUACAGCUGUGGCUGUUCCUUUUUCGAUAUCCUUUCUCCUUCACAACUGGAGCUACACUGCCCAUGUUGCAAGGGAGGUGUUCCUGAGAAGUUACGUGAGUGUGGCGAAGCAGGUCACUUGAAGAUGACAUGUUCUGGGCCACUAACCCCAUUCAUCCACCCAGGAUUCCUUUUCCUUCAGAUACCGUCUAGUGUUACGGCGCUCGGUGUUGAUUGCCAGGGCACUCGACAUUUGGUUGUUGUCUGAUGAGAGCAACUAACUGGAAUGCUCCCUCUGAGAAAACCUAUUGACAUAUAUGGGCUCUGUUGUAUCUUUGCAUACGUAGUUAAUACGCCCUGAAACCUGACAUAAGGAAAACUCACCAAAUGCUGUUUGGAUGUAGCACAAACGUAACUCUUCUUGCUUCAUUAAACAUUCACUCAUAACUUGCAAUUCAAUUCCAUCACCUGAAAUAAAAUACUUGAGACAACUGUAAACUAAAUGUCAGGCCUCUUUCUUGUCAUAGAAGAAGCCUUUUCCAUUCAGCAGAAUUAAUCAACUUAUCUUACUUGAAAAAUAUUUUUUUUCUGGAAACCUCCCAGAGAGUUUGCUUUGUGAGGCCAUCUCCCAGCAAUUCAAUAGGAAACAAUACGGGGUGAUUCAGAUGGGAAGGAUCAAACAAUGGGAUAUAAAUCCUGAUAUAAGACUGCAGAUGUUUUAAAUACAAAUAUUUUUAACCCUAAUACUCAUCCGUGUUAUACCGAUGAUAUGAACUGGCAGAAUGAGAGACUUGCAAUAAAGUACAAUACAAACAAAGCCUAUUUCUACUCAGUGCAUGAAUUUGAAAAUAAAUCAAACGCCGAAGCAUAGUUUCUUCAAACAUCUUUUUCCAAAGCCAACGGUUUCAUGGUAACGUAAUUUAGGUGAUGAGCACGCUCGGAUAAAUGCCAUGUGGGCCACAAACUAUCUGCUCCACCAAGAGAAACUGCCGUCCCAACUUAUCCCAGCUUCCUCUGCACCCACCAUCUUCAUUUUUUCCAGUGCAGUAAUAGCAAAAGCAUUGACAUGAUUCAGGACUUACUCCAAAAUUCUCUGCAGCUCUUUCUAGAAAAUACACAGGGUUGUACACUGAGAGUAUCUCCUGACAAACAGGAGAUCUUUUGGGGAUUAUGCUGCCUUCCCCUCUCCCCACCUGCCCUUUCUCUUCCCUUUAUUUCUCAUUGCUUACGAGACGGAUGGUUAUUAUCAGUUUAUUAUUACUGUUUUUCCACAGACUUUCUCAAAUGUCAAGUGAAUCUGAUCUGGAGUUCAGGCCCAUAAUUACACUGGAUCGACUCCAGGAACUCGUAAAUAAAUCGGUGGUGGCUGCAGUGGCUGCCAGAGCUCUGUCGUUCUGCUCUUCUGAGGGUGGACAGAGGCUUUGGCUCUUUUCUAAAAUUCUACACUUGCCAUUGAGUUUUUCUCACCUUCUUUUAAAAGACCCUGGGCUUCCUCGCUCGAGUUUGGCAUAGCCUCACACAGGAAGAGAAAGCUACCGGCCCGCCACAUGGUUGAAUACAUUCAUUUAGAAAAGCAGCUGAAAUGCAGAUUGUUACUUUCUGCUUUCUCCGUAUGUGGAAACCUUGCAGGGGCAGACAUAUUUCUGUCUCUCCUCUGGCCCCUUUGUUGACGUUCAUAGUUUACACUGGGCUUUACAGUGAGGCACAUCUUUGUCAUGGGAUAUCGACUGUGUUGAGCUUUGGAGAUCAGUUCCACAGCUUGCCAAGAAGGUCCCCUACGUGCAGGGAUGCUUGGAUUCAAGGUUAUGCAUUUAAAGGAAGCAGCGGGCACAACAUCCAUUCACAUGGCUUACGGAGCUCUGGGAAGCUGACUGGUAAAGUUAAAUGUUAUUUCCAAGCCUGUUUCUAAUCAUAUCAAUCCAUAUGGAGCACAGCAUCUGGUUACAGAAUGGAAUCUCCACCCAGCACAGGCUAAAACUUAACGCUGUAGAUGUCAUCCUGAUAGCCCUCAACACUUCUUCCCUGAAAAACUUCAAAUAAACUAUUUCAGCACAAGAUGAGAGCUGAGGACAUGUUCAGGAAACGGUUCCUUUGCUUCAGCCUCAUCUGCAGUUAGAACAAGUCCCUAAUAUCUGAAGGGAGGGAGUCCAAUGAAUGGGGCCAGGCUCUUUUCAGUGGUGCCCAAUGAGACCAAUUCUCUUCACAGGGGUCACUGAAAGGAAAGUAGGGAAUAGCAGAGCUUUAUCAGUGAUAACCUUGUUCACUAUCAUACCAAUUGCAUAAAGGUAAACUGCUGGACUCCUUUAAGAUAGGUUGAGCUACUGUUCCUGCUGCAGAGCACUUUUCAAACCAGUGCCAGUUACUUCAUGGAGUGAAAAACACCGAAUUCUUUGCAAAAGAAUGUCAUUUCUUUCCUAUGCCUCCCCCCAGGCAGCCCCAUUGUUUAAAUAAGUAUGUGCUUGUUCCCCAAAUACAGAUGGUUUUGACUCCCAUCAUAAAUCAAACACGCUUGUGUCAAACACAUUAAAAAUGUAGGGAAAAUCAUCUUUUUAACUGAUGUGGAUUUAGAUGCUUGGUCUGACCCAAAUUACGUUUCUUUAAUAAUCUUAAUUCUUUCCUGGUUCUUCUGGGAACAAAAGAUUCCAAUAUAUCAUCAUGCCUCCUUCUCCUCCCCUGGAAUUCCAAUCAAUCUUUUACUCCUUUUUAAAUGUAAAUUUUAAACAAUCAUGUAUCUGGAUCCUGGAUUAAGUCUGCAGGGGGAAAAAAUCUCUGGCAGAAGAUGGUAAGGACUGUGCCUAAGGCAAAAUCCAGACAAAUCGGUUCUCAACUGGAGUAAAAACAGCUCUUGGCAAAUGGAUCACAGGUUUUGGUUGCAAGAGUUCCAUCCAGAACCCAUUCUGAUAUUUGAAAAUAAAUCGGACAGAGUCACAUCAAUCACAACAAAAGCAAACGUAACAUCCAAUUGCACUUUCCCCCACUCAGACAGCCCUCUCAGGCCCAUUUUAUAGUGCAUUUCUUACAGGAUCAAAAUUCCUUGGUGGUUCCAGUGAGAAGCUGCCGCCUUUUUUAUCUGUAGGGAGAAAGAACACCUCUGAUAGUUUCAAUCAGUAUGACAGGAGCUGCGCUGAAAGGCAGCAGGAGGAAGCACACUUUUAAGGUCACUGUCCAUUCUAGGAUUUCUAACCUUGCUAUGGUUUAUUUCUGCCCUCCUUUCUGUGCUAGCCUCGCUCCUUCUCUCCCUCAGUCAGACUGGAAUGACCUGCCUGUGCUUUCUGUUUGAUGUGGGUUUUGUGUAUCUGCACAAAGUAAUUCAUAACCACUGGGCAAAAGGCAGUGCCCACACCGCAUCAUUAGCCAGCAAUUAAGAAACUUCUGCCUGCACAGAGCUAUAAAGCCCAGCAGUGCUUCAGGCCCUCAGUGCUCCUUUAGAGCUCGCCUAGGGCACAAAGCUGCCGUAGUGCUGCAGGGAGGCACUUUGUAGCGUGCCCUGCAGAGUGCAUUUUGGGCACUGAUUUGAAGGUUUUACGAUUCGCCUCCUUUUAGCACGUUUCUGCACCUUGAGAUUCCCUCCUCCUGCGCACGGAGCUGAGCAGAAGGGAAUCAGCCGUUCCGUUGGGUUCCACACACUGUCUGCUCAAGCUCUCAGGUUCAACACCCCCCGAGCGAUUCUCUCUUUGGUAAUUCUUCUCAUGCUCACAUUUCAAGUUGCUUUCUGAGACCUGAUCAAGAGGAACGGGACUGAAAUCCUUCACGUAGUACACUUAGAAAAAUGUCUGUCUAAAUAAAAUGGUUAAAAAAAAAGGCGAUUCUACCUUCUGGGCUAUUUAAUAUCAGAGAACGUGAACGUGUUCCCAUGCCCCCUCACCUCAGCACUGCUGGGGGCUGUGACAGGGAGGGCCACCGGCGCGCUGAGGUGGGGUCCUGGUCUCUUUCCCGGGGGCCCAAAGAACAACUCAUGGCUAAUUUGGAAGGGACCAACGAGGGAGCGGGACAGGCCUCGGUGUGACACGGAGGGCCGUCCGGCGUGACAGGGGGCUCAGGUCAGGGGCCCCUCACACCGCACCCCACGCCGGGCCGGGCGCGGCCCCUUUAAGGAGCGGAGCAGCGCCCGCAGGAG
ensembl:lncRNA